rnacentral:rRNA from 1 species
GAGCUCGCGUCUGAUUAGCUAGUUGGCGGGGUAAAGGCCCACCAAGGCGACGAUCAGUAGCCGGACUGAGAGGUUGAACGGCCACAUUGGGACUGAGAUACGGCCCAGACUCCUACGGGAGGCAGCAGUGGGGAAUAUUGGGCAAUGGGCGAAAGCCUGACCCAGCAACGCCGCGUGAAGGAAGAAGGCUCUCGGGUUGUAAACUUCUUUGACCAGGGAAGUGACGGUACCUGGAAAACAAGCCACGGCUAACUACGUGCCAGCAGCCGCGGUAAUACGUAGGUGGCGAGCGUUGUCCGGAUUUACUGGGUGUAAAGGGCGUGUAGGCGGGAUUGCAAGUCAGAUGUGAAAUGCCGGGGCUUAACCCCGGAGCUGCAUUUGAAACUGCAGUUCUUGAGUGAUGGAGAGGCAGGCGGAAUUCCUAGUGUAGCGGUGAAAUGCGUAGAU